rnacentral:rRNA from 1 species
GAUGAACGCUAGCGGCAGGCCUAACACAUGCAAGUCGAGGGGCAGCACGUCUUCGGAUGGUGGCGACCGGCGCACGGGUGCGUAACGCGUAUGCAACCUACCUCUUACAGUGGGAUAGCCCAGAGAAAUUUGGAUUAAUACCGCAUAGUAUACAGAUUCAGCAUUGGGACUGUAUUAAACAUUUAUGGGUAAGAGAUGGGCAUGCGUUCUAUUAGUUAGUUGGAGUGGUAACGGCACCCCAAGACAGCGAUAGAUAGGGCCCGUCGAGAGGGGAGUCCCCACCACUGGUACUGAGACACGGACCAGA